AUUGAACGCUGGCGGCAGGCCUAACACAUGCAAGUCGAGCGGAUGAAGGGAGCUUGCUCCUGGAUUCAGCGGCGGACGGGUGAGUAAUGCCUAGGAAUCUGCUUGGUAGUGGGGGAUAACGUCCGGAAACGGGCGCUAAUACCGCAUACGUCCUGAGGGAGAAAGUGGGGGAUCUUCGGACCUCACGCUAUCAGAUGAGCCUAGGUCGGAUUAGCUAGUUGGUGGGGUAAAGGCCUACCAAGGCGACGAUCCGUAACUGGUCUGAGAGGAUGAUCAGUCACACUGGAACUGAGACACGGUCCAGACUCCUACGGGAGGCAGCAGUGGGGAAUAUUGGACAAUGGGCGAAAGCCUGAUCCAGCCAUGCCGCGUGUGUGAAGAAGGUCUUCGGAUUGUAAAGCACUUUAAGUUGGGAGGAAGGGCAGUAAGUUAAUACCUUGCUGUUUUGACGUUACCAACAGAAUAAGCACCGGCUAACUUCGCG
rnacentral:rRNA from 1 species